rnacentral:rRNA from 1 species
AUACGGAGGAUCCGAGCGUUAUCCGGAUUUAUUGGGUUUAAAGGGUGCGCAGGCGGCCAUUUAAGUCAGCGGUUAAAUCGUGGGGCUCAACCCCAUUCUGCCGUUGAUACUGGGUGGCUUGAUUGCGGUAGAGGUUGGCGGAAUUCGUUGUGUAGCGGUGAAAUGCAUAGAUAUGACGAAGAACACCGAUUGCGUAGGCAGCUGACCAGACCGCAAAUGACGCUCAUGCACGAAAGUGCGGGGAUCGAACAGGAUUAGAUACCCUGGUAGUCCGCACAGUAAACGAUGAAUACUUGUUUUCGGCGAUAUAAUGUCGGAGGCAAAGCGAAAGCGAUAAGUAUUCCGCCUGGGGAGUACGCCGGCAACGGUGAAACUUAAAGGAAUUGACGGGG